UCUGUCGUAGCUUAGUGGUCAAAGCAUUAGCGCGUAAAGAAUCCCGGGUUCCAUUCCCGGCGAGGGUG
rnacentral:tRNA from 1 species